AUACGGAGGGUGCAAGCGUUGUUUGGAAUCACUGGGCGUAAAGGGCGCGCAGGCGGUUUGGUAAGUCAGAUGUGAAAGCCCACGGCUCAACCGUGGAAGUGCAUUUGAAACUGCCAGACUUGAGUACCAGAGGGGAAAGUGGAAUUCCCGGUGUAGAGGUGAAAUUCGUAGAUAUUGGGAGGAAUACCGGUGGCGAAGGCGACUUUCUGGCUGGAUACUGACGCUGAGGCGCGAAAGCGUGGGGAGCAAACAGGAUUAGAAACCCUAGUAGUCC
rnacentral:rRNA from 1 species